rnacentral:lncRNA from 1 species
CACAUGUCUUUCCUAUCAAAGUGUCAAUUCCUUUUUUAACUACUGGCAACUUUUCUAUCAUGGGGGGAAUCGUUUGACGUGAUCUUGGAUGAGAACCAGCUUGAGGACGCCUGUGAACACCUGGCCGACUACCUGGAGGCCUACUGGAAGGCCACCCACCCGCCCAGCAGCAGCCUCCCCAACCCUCUCCUCAGCCGUACUCUGGCCACUUCGACCCUGCCCAGGAGCCCGACUCUGGCCUCUCACUCACAGGGUCCUCCAGGCAAUCAGAGGACGGAUAGCUCAGCCCCGGGCUGGUCUGCUUCCCAAGUUGAAGCAGCAGCCUACCCGGAGCCGGUCUGGAAACCCCAGCACUGGUCUUUGUCCUCCACCCAGCACCACAACCACUGCAGUGGUGCCGGCUGCAGCCUCUCCGGGCAGGAGACGCUGGACUCAGAGACACAGGAGAGUCGAGACUUCACCAAGGAAGAUUCCUGCCAUGAGCCCGUGGACCACUGUGCCGCCCACCGUGACCACAGCCACAGGGCGGAGCCCCACAGAGGUGGCAAGCACAGACACCGCGAGUCCCGGCACUGCACCACAACGAGUGCAGCAUACAGCGGAGCCGCCACAAAUUCAAGGACACAGAAGGGCUUGCCAGGAAGUGGAACGAGGCUGGGGACUGCAAUAAGGAUGUUUACAUCCGCCAGUGACGUUCCUCCUUUUGUGUUGUUGGGGGUUGGUUGGUUUUUUGUUUUUUGGUUUUUUUUCGGUUUUUAAAGUCUGGUACACCACCACCCUCACACUCAGUCUGGAGGGCAUCUACAUCGCAGUCAUAUUUGAACUGUAUAUUUUGUACCUACUGCUUAACUAGCAAUAGCAUGAAAUAGGGUAUUAAUAUUCUUUUUUUCCUAAGUGCUACCUGAAUUGUCCUGGAAGGCUGCCAUCCUCUCCUUGCGGACUGGACUAUUUCAACUGUCUGGGCUUGAACAAAAUCUUUUGCCAUCCCUAUGGCAUUAGUAUUUUAAGAUGCAUAGCUGACAUUUUGCAAAAGGUAGUUGAUGUAUCCAGCUGGCCAGGACUGGCCCAUAUUAAAAGUGGGAUUUCUUGAUUCUCGUGAUUUUUAAUAUGUAGGCACCGACCUGAUUUGCAUAUUCAUCCAUGGACCACUGUUUCUUGCUUGUACCUCUGGCUGACUAAAUUUGGGGACAGAUUCAGUCUUGCCUUACACAAAGGGGAUCAUAAAGUUAGAAUCUAUUUUCUAUGUACUAGUAUUAUGUACUGUAUAGACAGUUUGUAAAUGUUAUUUCUGCAAACACCUUCUAAUUAUAUAUAUUAUAUAUAUAUACAUAUAUAUAUAUAUCAGUUUGACCACACUGUUUUAGAGUCUUAAUGCCAAGUCAGCAGAUUUGCUUUAUGAAUUACAGGGACUAGAAACGCCCACCUUCAGGAAAUUUGUAAUACCAUCGUCCAGACACCUAUCCCCGUUCUAGGAGAAAGUCUGUUCAUACUGUAAAUACGUGUGACUGCUUGACUUGAACAGGCUGAUUUCUGAAUGUUUUUCCAUCCUUGUAAAUCAAUGAUUUUGACCGUAAAUGAAGGUGAAUAUAAUCAAACUCCAAAG